rnacentral:lncRNA from 1 species
AUUUAGGAAUAAUAAGGCUAAUUACAUGGCUGAAUGUCAGUCAGCAUUGUACAUGUAUGAAACAGAAUAAAUUCCUACCAAUUACAACUAAUAUACAAAGCAUCUUUUCUAAAUUGCUAGCUGUAAAUUAGUUUCCCUUAUUAGUUCGUAUAGCAUAUAUCCAAUUGACAUCCACCUCAAAUUGAUGUUGGGUGAUAAAAAAAAAUCAAUAUGCUCACAAAAAAGAGAUAAUGUUGUCAUGUCAUAGCUUUGGUAAAUAUAUCGGCAAUCUGAAGAUCAAUAGACAUAUGCGAAAGAGAAAUAAUACUAGUAUCGGAAGUCUCUAGAUGAAUGACAAUCCACUUUGAUAUGUUUUUGUAUGCUCAUGAUAUUCUAUUUGCAGCAAUUUGAAUAGCAUUUGUGUUGUCUGCAUGAAGGGGGUAUCAGAUUAGAUUGAGGAAGCGAAGUUCAGCUAAAAGCCCACAAAGCCAAAUAAUCUUAGAAUAGGCAACGGACAUGGCACGAUAUUCGGAUUAUAUUUUGUAGAUUUGGACACACAAGCCUGCUUUUUACUUUUUUUGGAGAUCAAAGAAUUAUCAAGAAACAUACACCAAAACGUAAUAGAACGAGUAUCGGGACACUUAGCCCAAUUCGCAUUAUUAAACGCAAUAAGGCCAAUAGGAUAGCUAGCAAGAAAAAAUCCACGAUGACAAGUACUUUGGAGAUACCGAAUGUGCGACGAACAACCCCAAGAUGGAGAUGUUGUGGAGCUUGCAUAAAUUGAUUGACUUGCUGGACGAUGAAUGAUAUAUCAGGCCUAGUGAUGGUCAAGUAGUUGAGGCUCCUAACUAAUUGCUGAAAGAUAGUGGGAUUAGGAAAGAUAUCACCCUCCUGACGAUGAUAUUUUACAUUGACUUCUAGAGUGUCAAUAAUGAAAGAAUCCUGAAGACGAGCCAAAGUGAUCAAGUCUUGAAUGUAUUUAUGUUGGUUCAAGAAUAUACCUAUGGAAUUGGUAUGUACUUCCAACCCUAAAAAUAUGUAUGCGGACCAAGAUCAUUCAUAUGAAAGGAAGUGUGUAGAUGCUAUUGGAGUUGAGUGAUUAACUCAGAAUCUAUGUCGGUGGUAACAAUGUUGUCUACAUAUACAAGUAAAAGAACAAUACCAGUAGACGUCUUGCAAAAAAAUAGAGAGGAGUCGUACUGGCUCUGGAUAAAAGAAAGCUGUAGCAAAGUAGAUCGAAACUUCUUAAACCAUGCUCGAGGAGCUUGUUUCAACCCAUAACGAACCUCUUUACCUUACAUGUGAAGGAGAGGAAAAGAGACUCGGAGAAGGUGCUAUGUAAAUAUCCUCCUUGAGAUCACCAUGAAUAAAAGCAUUUUUAACGUCCAUCUAGUGAAGAGGCCACCUCUGAGAGGUAGCAAUAGAAAGAACAGUGCGCAUCGUAAAGAAAGAUGGAAGAAAACUAAUUUCAGGAUGUUGAACAUGAGUAGUAAAGAAAGAUUGGUGUUCAAAGAAAACAACAUUACGAGAAAUACAAAAUCUGUUAGAGCAAGGAUCAUAGCAAACAUAGCCUUUGUGCGUAACAAGAUAACUCAUAAAAGCACAUUUAACAGAUUGAGCAGAAAGUUUGUGUGUUCAUGAUGAGGUAAAUGAACAAAGCAAAUGUACCCAAAAGUAUGCAAGUCAUAAUAAGUAGGAUAUUGAUUAUGAAGAUAAUAUGAAGAGUUAAAGUGUAAAAUUUGGGAAGGCAAUCUAUUGAUUAAAUAAACUGUAGAAAACAUUGCUUCAACCUAGAAUUUUGAAGGAACAUAGGAAUCGAGUAAAAAUGUACGAACAUCCAAGAGAUAGCGAUUCUUUCGUUCCCUACCCCAUUUUGUUGAGGAGUAUAAGUACAUGAUCGUUGAUACAAAAUCCCUUUCUAUUUUAAGAAAUCAUGAAACUCAUUAGACAUAUAUUUCCUACUCAAAUCAGAUCGUAAAUUUUAAUACUGGUGGAGAAUUGGGUCUAAACAUGUCACAAAAGUCUUGAAAACUACAAGUACUUCAUAUUUAAAAUGGUGAAAGUAGAUCCAUGUGUAUCGAUUAUAAUCAUCAAUGAAAGUCACAAAAUACUUUUACUGGACAUGAGAGUCUACAGGCGUAGUGCCCCAAGCAUCAUUAUGCACAACAUCAAAGCUCUUUUCGGCACGACUACUGUAAGAAGGGAAAGGAAGAGUCCUUUCCCAAUUUGCACGUAGAACAAUCAAAGCACAAAUUAUGAGAACUGUUUUUAUUACCCAACAAAUUAGAAUUUAACAAAUAAGAUAGGAUAGUGGAGUUUGGAUGGCCGAAAAGUUUUUGCCAGACUUUGCUUUUAUUGUUAAACAGUUAUACAGGCCAAAGAUAAAUAACUAUGAAUAUAAAAAUAUAAUGGAAAUAAUCAUCC